UUGAGAAGUGGCAGAACAAUGCCUUGGGCCUAAGACCCAAUAAUGAGGUAUUCCUCCUUCUUUA
rnacentral:tRNA from 1 species